rnacentral:rRNA from 1 species
AUUGAACGCUGGCGGCAGGCUUGACACAUGCAAGUCGAGCGGGGGAAGGUAGCUUGCUACCGGACCUAGCGGCGGACGGGUGAGUAAUGCUUAGGAAUCUGCCUAUUAGUGGGGACAACAUCUCGAAAGGGAUGCUAAUACCGCAUACGUCCUACGGGAGAAAGCAGGGGAUCUUCGGACCUUGCGCUAAUAGAUGAGCCUAAGUCGGAUUAGCUAGUUGGUGGGGUAAAGGCCUACCAAGGCGACGAUCUGUAGCGGGUCUGAGAGGAUGAUCCGCCACACUGGGACGGAGACACGGCCCAGACUCCUACGGGAGGCAGCAGUGGGGAAUAUUUGACAAUGGGGGGAACCCUGAUCCAGCCAUGCCGCGUGUGUGAAGAAGGCCUUAUGGUUGUAAAGCACUUUAAGCGAGGAGGAGGCUACUCUAGUUAAUACCUAGGGAUAGUGGACGUUACUCGCAGAAUAAGCACCGGCUAACUCUGUGCCAGCCGCCGCGGUAA